GCUUAUGAAAAGGAUUGGGGUGCCGUUGUUCUCCACAGGGUCCCUCGGGGACCUACCAGGGGGUCAGCAAGGCAGCUAGACAACCAGGAGAAGGCGUGGACAGUUUGGGGCACUGAUGCGCUCUGGCAAUCCUUGAGGCCUUCAGAACAUACUAUCUAUUGGAGGAGACAAGACUGUUACAGAAACAUUACUAAAGACUAUGUUCUACGCGCUCCAUCCCAUCACACCCACCUAAAAGCCUGGGAGGGAAGCCUUUUUUUCCUCUUUUGUGAUGCUGCCCUCUGCUGGACAUUAGGAAAUUCACAGGCAAAAACAUC